GNCNGCGCUGCUACCAUGCAGUCGAACGGUGAACACGGAGCUUGCUCUGUGGGAUCAGUGGCGAACGGGUGAGUAACACGUGAGCAACCUGCCCCUGACUCUGGGAUAAGCGCUGGAAACGGCGUCUAAUACUGGAUAUGUGACGUGACCGCAUGGUCUGCGUUUGGAAAGAUUUUUCGGUUGGGGAUGGGCUCGCGGCCUAUCAGCUUGUUGGUGAGGUAAUGGCUCACCAAGGCGUCGACGGGUAGCCGGCCUGAGAGGGUGACCGGCCACACUGGGACUGAGACACGGCCCAGACUCCUACGGGAGGCAGCAGUGGGGAAUAUUGCACAAUGGGCGAAAGCCUGAUGCAGCAACGCCGCGUGAGGGAUGACGGCCUUCGGGUUGUAAACCUCUUUUAGCAGGGAAGAAGCGAAAGUGACGGUACCUGCAGAAAAAGCGCCGGCUAACUACGUGCCAGCAGCCGCGGUAAUACGUAGGGCGCAAGCGUUAUCCGGAAUUAUUGGGCGUAAAGAGCUCGUAGGCGGUUUGUCGCGUCUGCUGUGAAAUCCCGAGGCUCAACCUCGGGCCUGCAGUGGGUACGGGCAGACUAGAGUGCGGUAGGGGAGAUUGGAAUUCCUGGUGUAGCGGUGGAAUGCGCAGAUAUCAGGAGGAACACCGAUGGCGAAGGCAGAUCUCUGGGCCGUAACUGACGCUGAGGAGCGAAAGGGUGGGGAGCAAACAGGCUUAGAUACCCUGGUAGUCCACCCCGUAAACGUUGGGAACUAGUUGUGGGGUCCAUUCCACGGAUUCCGUGACGCAGCUAACGCAUUAAGUUCCCCGCCUGGGGAGUACGGCCGCAAGGCUAAAACUCAAAGGAAUUGACGGGGACCCGCACAAGCGGCGGAGCAUGCGGGAUUAAUUCGAUGCAACGCGAAGAACCUUACCAAGGCUUGACAUAUACGAGAACGGGCCAGAAAUGGUCAACUCUUUGGACACUCGUAAACAGGUGGUGCAUGGUUGUCGUCAGCUCGUGUCGUGAGAUGUUGGUUAAGUCCCGCAACGAGCGCAACCUCGUUCUAUGUUGCCAGCACGUAAUGUGGGAACUCAUGGGAUACUGCGGGUCAACUCGGAGGAGGUGGGGAUGACGUCAAUCAUCAUGCCCUAUGUCUGGCUUCACGCAUGCUAACAAUGGNCGUACAAAGGCUGCCAAAUACGUG
rnacentral:rRNA from 1 species